rnacentral:rRNA from 1 species
UACGAAGGGGGCUAGCGUUGCUCGGAAUCACUGGGCGUAAAGCGCACGUAGGCGGAUUGUUAAGUCAGGGGUGAAAUCCUGGAGCUCAACUCCAGAACUGCCUUUGAUACUGGCGAUCUCGAGUCCGGGAGAGGUGAGUGGAACUGCGAGUGUAGAGGUGAAAUUCGUAGAUAUUCGCAAGAACACCAGUGGCGAAGGCGGACUCACCUGGCCC